rnacentral:tRNA from 1 species
CGGGGUAUAGCGCAGUCCGGUAGCGGGCCUGCUUUGGGAGCAGGAUGUCAGGAGUUCGAAUCCCCUUACCCCGACCA